UACGUAGGGUGCAAGCGUUAAUCGGAAUUACUGGGCGUAAAGCGUGCGCAGGCGGUUUUGUAAGUCUGUUGUGAAAUCCCCGGGCUUAACCUGGGAAUUGCAAUGGAGACUGCAAGGCUGGAAUCUGGCAGAGGGGGGUAGAAUUCCACGUGUAGCAGUGAAAUGCGUAGAGAUGCGGAGGAACACCGAUGGCGAAGGCAGCCCCCUGGGCUAACACUGACGCUCAGGCACGAAAGCGUGGGGAGCAAACAGG
rnacentral:rRNA from 1 species